AAAAACCGGGCUUCUCAGCUCGUAUUUCUUCUUCUUCUUUUCUUUCCCCUUGAUUUUUCAACUUGUUUUUUCCCUCAGCUCGUUCUCACCUUCUCUUCCAGGCCACCACCUCCGAAUUCCCACCUUCUCCAUUGAAGCCGUUUUUGAGCUCUCUCACUUCAUUGAAGCAGCUGCAUGCACCUCCUUCUCUCUCCAUAUCUCUCCUCCAUUGAACUCGUGCUCUCUAUUCUCCAUUGAAGCGCAUUCUGAGUUUUCUCACCUCCAUUGAAGCAGCUUCUAGGUAAUGGACAUCUCAGACAUGAUGCAUGCAUAUUUUGCUAAGAUCAAUUAUGGGGAGCCCGAAGCUCCCUCAUCGGCCGUGUUUGAUGAUUCAGCUGGUCGAACAAGAGUUGAAAAUAAUACUGCUGCUGAUCAAACAAAUUUCAGUUUAAGAAGCCACCAUAAAAGAAAAAGGGAAAUUUUUGCAAGAAACAAUGUUCAUCUCGGGCGAUCCAUCUGCUCAAAAACGGGUUGAUUUAGGUGGUCGGAGCUCCAAGGAGAGAGACAGCAAAAGCUUUUGGAGCAAACUAGGUUGGAGCGGAAUCGUCGAAUGUUUCAACGCAAGCAGAAUUCUGCUGCUCUUAAAAUUCAGGUUUGUUUGCUUUUGGAGCAAACUAGGUUGGAGCGGAAUCGUCGAAUGUUUUGGGCUGGAUUAUGCAAUGGAAACUCAAGCAAAGAAGUACGUUGCUAUCUUUUUUCAUUAAUGACUUUUUACUGACUUGCAUUUUAUCAUAGGUGGUUUAUUCAUAUCAUUGCGUGCCUUUUCUUUCUGAUUAGUAAAUUUCUAAUAUAGAUAAAAUUUUAAUAUUUUUUCAAGAACCCUCUACUUGUUACCGUGUAAGUGUUUCUUUCCCAAGUAUCAUUAGCAGCAAACCCACAGUAACCUAAAGGCAGCAAGCUCAAAAUACCAUGAUUCCCAGCAAAUCUAGUUCUCUUUUGGUAUUUCUUAUGGGUAAAGGAUAAAACUUGAACUGGUUUACUUUCUCUUCAAUCAUCCCCAUCUGUUGCUUUGCUGGGAAAUCUCAUCAAAUGUGCUAGUUUUCUUACUCUAUUGUGUAUGACAGAUGAUGCCAGUCAAAACUAUCAAUUUGGCCUUGAGUGGUCGUAUUUCACUGUUCUCUGAUUAUUACAAAAUUAAUUACUGUACAUAAACUAGUUUGUGAUCCAAAUUUCUCAAUAUAGUCCUGUCUGAAAAACUUAAUUGCUUGGUUAUUGAUUUCUCACUUUUGAUAUAAUAGUACUUUGGUUUCCACUGCUAAUCUUUUUUACGAACUUAUUGCAGAGUAAUUAUAGCGUGGGUGUAAUUUAGGGAUAUUAUUGUGUUGGACCACUGGUUUGUGAAUGCAGAUAUCAUUGUCAGGUUUGCUGAAUUUCAUUGAUGGUCUAUGGUCUAGUUGUGGGGAUGAACGAAUAUUUGUCUUCACGACAAACCAUAAGGAGAAGCUUGAUCCUGCAUUAUUGAGGCCAGGGCGGAUGGAUAUGCACAUUAAUAUGUUAGAAAUUAGAACAACUUUUCCCUUGUUCAUUUGUGCCAGCUUCUUAUAUACUUUUAAAUGUUUGUUCUUUAGCAGACACAUCUGCAUCACCACCAAGAACCAGCCUAGCAACACAGCAGCUCAGCAUCACAACUCCCCACAAAACCAGCAACAUGGCUGCAAAAGGAAAACAGAUAGCAGCACAGUAGUAUAACACUGUAAUCUCAAGUGUUUUUUUUUUUUUUUUUUUUGUUUUUUAG